rnacentral:rRNA from 1 species
UGGGGAAUAUUGGACAAUGGGCGAAAGCCUGAUCCAGCAAUACCGCGUGAACGAUGAAGGCCUUAGGGUUGUAAAGUUCUUUUAGUAGGGAAGAUAAUGACGGUACCUACAGAAAAAGCCCCGGCUAACUCCGUGCCAGCAGCCGCGGUAAGACGGAGGGGGCUAGCGUUAUUCGGAAUUACUGGGCGUAAAGGGCGCGUAGGCGGAUUAGAAAGUUGGGAGUGAAAUCCCGGGGCUCAACCUCGGAAUUGCUUUCAAAACUCCUAGUCUAGAGUGAAGUAGGGGGUGAUGGAAUUCCUAGUGUAGAGGUGAAAUUCUUAGAUAUUAGGAGGAACACCGGUGGCGAAGGCGGUCACCUGGACUUCAACUGACGCUGAGGCGCGAAAGCGUGGGGAGCAAACAGG